ACCGUCGAGGUAACCCCUCUUAUAGACCGUCGAGGUAAACCCUCUUAUAGACCGAGGUAACCCACCUCUUAUAGACCGUCGAGGUAACCCACCUCUUAUAGACCGAGGUAACCCACCUCUUAUAGACCGUCGAGGUAACCCACCUCUUAUAGACCGUCGAGGUAACCCACCUCUUAUAGACCGUCGAGGUAACCCACCUCUUAUAGACCGACCGUGAGGUACCCACCUCUUAUAGACGACCGUCGAGGUAACCCACCUCUUAUAGACCGACCUUCGAGGUAACCCACCUCUUAUAGACGACCGACGAGGUAACCACCUCUUAUAGACCGACCGACGAGGUAACACCUCUUUAUAGACCGACCGACGAGGUAACCACCUCUUAUAGACCGACCGACGAGGUAACCCACCUCUUAUAGACCGCCGCGAGGUAACCCACCUCUUAUAGACCUGCUGGCGGUUCCGUACUCACCACACAGCUCA
rnacentral:lncRNA from 1 species